GAUGAACGCUGGCGGUAUGCCUAACACAUGCAAGUCGUACGAGAGUUUUUAACUCUAGUGGCGGACGGGUGAGUAACACGUGAGAAUUUGCCUUUAGGAGGGGGAUAACAAUUGGAAACGAAUGCUAAUACCCCAUAUGCUUUUGAGUGAAAUGGAUUUUAUCCGCCUAGAGAGAAGCUCGCGGCUGAUUAGCUUGUUGGUAAGGUAAGAGCUUACCAAGGCGACGAUCAGUAUCUGGUUUGAGAGGACGAUCAGACACACUGGAACUGAGACACGGUCCAGACUCCUACGGGAGGCAGCAGUGGGGAAUUUUCCGCAAUGGGCGAAAGCCUGACGGAGCAAUACCGCGUGAGGGAAGAAUGCCUAUGGGUUGUAAACCUCUUUUUCAGGGAGGAAUAAAAUGACGUGUACCUGAAGAAUAAGCAUCGGCUAACUACGUG
rnacentral:rRNA from 1 species